rnacentral:rRNA from 1 species
AUUGAACGCUGGCGGCAGGCUUAACACAUGAAAGUUGAACGAGUGGCGGACGGGUGAGUAAUGCUUGGGAAUCUUGCUUAUGGAGGGGGGUAACUACGGGAAACUGUAGCUAAUAACGCGUACCAUAGGAUGAGCCCAAGGGGGAUUAGGUAGUUGGUGAGGUAAAGGCUCACCAAGCCGACGAUCACUAUCUGGUCUUAGAGGAUGACCGGCCACACUGGGACUGAGACACGUCCCAGACUCCUACGGGAGGAAUCAGGGGGGAAUAUUGCACAAUGGGCGCAAGCCUGAUGCAGCCAUGCCGCGUGUAUUAAGAAGGCCCUAGGGUUGUAAAGUACUGUCAGUCGGGAGGCGUUACCGACAGAAGAAGCACCGGCUAACUCCGUGCGAGCUGCCGCGGUAAUAC